GAUGAACGCUGGCGGCGUGCCUAAUACAUGCAAGUCGAGCGAACAGAUAAGGAGCUUGCUCCUUUGACGUUAGCGGCGGACGGGUGAGUAACACGUGGAUAACCUACCUAUAAGACUGGGAUAACUUCGGGAAACCGGAGCUAAUACCGGAUAACAUAUUGAACCGCAUGGUUCAAUAGUGAAAGGGGGCUUUGCUGUCACUUAUAGAUGGAUCCGCGCCGUAUUAGCUAGUUGGUAAGGUAACGGCUUACCAAGGCAACGAUACGUAGCCGACCUGAGAGGGUGAUCGGCCACACUGGAACUGAGACACGGUCCAGACUCCUACGGGAGGCAGCAGUAGGGAAUCUUCCGCAAUGGGCGAAAGCCUGACGGAGCAACGCCGCGUGAGUGAUGAAGGUCUUCGGAUCGUAAAACUCUGUUAUCAGGGAAGAACAAAUGUGUAAGUAACUGUGCACAUCUUGACGGUACCUGAUCAGAAAGCCACGGCUAACUACGUG
rnacentral:rRNA from 1 species